UGACGGCCAUAUCCCGUUGAAACACCGGUUCCCGUAUGAUCACCGAUGUUAAACAACGUCGACCCUGGUCAGUACAUAUAGGGGUGUCCGCUUUGGAAUACCAGGUGCUGUAA